rnacentral:lncRNA from 1 species
GAGUUGGACUGGGCUACUAUUAGUAGCAAAAUCCCAUUGUUGCUACUAGUUUUUUAGCCUUUGGAUCAACUCUUUUUAUUAUUUCUAAUCAUUGGAUUAACCCAAUGGGGACCACUCAACCCUAGGGGAACCACUCAAGUCUAACCGACUAAUAUCAUCCUGACCCUACAAUUUUUCAUCCAGGGGUUAAAAACUUGAUAGCAAAAAGAGUGUCUUAUUAUUAAUAGUAUUCCAGCUUAAUUCUAUAUAUAUAUAUAUAUAUAUAUAUAU